UGUAAAAUUAAGUGACCAACAUUUUAAUGUAAUACUGUAUUCUUGUGUAAUCAUAUUGCUUCUCACUAGUUUCAACUGUUACUUAUACUUUGACCCCAGACACCACAGUGAGACCAACUACCAGUUUGACCUCCCCUUUGACCCCCAGCACGGCAUUGAAUCCUAUAACAGGGUCGACUGUUUGUUGUACCUUGACCACUGACACCCCAGCGAGUCCAACGGAAAG